rnacentral:misc_RNA from 1 species
AACGGCCAUAGCACGCUGGAUAUACCGGUUCUCGUCCGAUCACCGCAGUCAAGCAGUGUUGGGCGCGGUUMGUACCUCGAUGUGUGACCGCUUGGCCAUACCACGCUGGACACGCCAGAUCUCGGAAACUAAGCAGGGUCGGGCCUGGUUAGUACUUCGAUGGGCGACCGCUAACGGCCAUAGCACGCUGUACAUUGAUGGGCGACCGCUAACGGCCAUAGCACGCUGGAUAUACCGGUUCUCGUCCGAUCACCGCAGUCAAGCAGUGUUGGGCGCGGUUAGUACCUCGAUGCGCGACCGCU